GCCGGGGUGACGGAACUGGUGAGACGUGGCCGACUUAAAAUCGGCUGCCCGCAAGGGCGUGGGGGUUCGAAUCCCUCCCCCGGCA
rnacentral:tRNA from 1 species